rnacentral:rRNA from 1 species
UUGAUCAUGGCUCAAGGAUGAACGCUAGCGACAGGCUAACACAUGCAAGUCGAGGGGCAUCACGGGAGUAGCAAUACAACUGGUGGCGACCGGCGCACGGGUGAGUAACGCGUAUGCAACCUACCUAUCAGAGGGGAAUAACCCGGCGAAAGUCGGACUAAUACCGCAUAAAACAGGGGCACCGCAUGGUGAUAUUUGUUAAAGAAAUUCGCUGAUAGAUGGGCAUGCGUUCCAUUAGGUAGUUGGUGAGGUAACGGCUCACCAAGCCGACGAUGGAUAGGGGAACUGAGAGGUUGGUCCCCCACACUGGUACUGAGACACGGACCAGACUCCUACGGGAGGCAGCAGUGAGGAAUAUUGGUCAAUGGGCGAGAGCCUGAACCAGCCAAGUCGCCGUGAAGGAAGAAGGAUCUAUGGUUCGUAAACUUCUUUUGCAGGGGAAUAAAGUGCAGGACGUGUCCUGUUUUGUAUGUACCCUGAGAAUAAGGAUCGGCUAACUCCGUGCCAGCAGCCGC